GCGGGCGUGGUGGAAUUGGUAGACACGCUAGACUUAGGAUCUAGUGCCUCGCGGUGUGAGAGUUCGAGUCUCUCCGCCCGCACGA
rnacentral:tRNA from 1 species